rnacentral:tRNA from 1 species
GCGUGCGGUGUGAGGGUAGCAUCGCUGCCUGGAAGGCGGCAGGUGCGGGUUCGAGUCCCGCCUAACGCA